GCCUUCCCCUUCGGGGGACAAAGUGACAGGUGGUGCAUGGUUGUCGUCAGCUCGUGUCGUGAGAUGUUGGGUUAAGUCCCGCAACGAGCGCAACCCUUAAGCUUAGUUGCCAUCAUUAAGUUGGGCACUCUAAGUUGACUGCCGGUGACAAACCGGAGGAAGGUGGGGAUGACGUCAAAUCAUCAUGCCCCUUAUGAUUUGGGCUACACACGUGCUACAAUGGACAAUACAAAGGGCAGCGAAACCGCGAGGUCAAGCAAAUCCCAUAAAGUUGUUCUCAGUUCGGAUUGUAGUCUGCAACUCGACUACAUGAAGCUGGAAUCGCUAGUAAUCGUAGAUCAGCAUGCUACGGUGAAUACGUUCCCGGGUCUUGUACACACCGCCCGUCACACCACGAGAGUUUGUAACACCCGAAGCCGGUGGAGUAACCUUUUAGGAGCUAGCCGUCGAAGGUGGGACAAAUGAUUGGGGUGAAGUCGUAACAAGGUAGCCGUAUCGGAAGGUGCGGCUGGAUCACCUCCUUUCUAAGGA
rnacentral:rRNA from 1 species